rnacentral:rRNA from 1 species
CUGAACCAGCCAAGUAGCGUGAAGGAUGAAGGUCCUACGGAUUGUAAACUUCUUUUAUAAGGGAAUAAAACCUCCCACGUGUGGGAGCUUGUAUGUACCUUAUGAAUAAGCAUCGGCUAACUCCGUGCCAGCAGCCGCGGUAAUACGGAGGAUGCGAGCGUUAUCCGGAUUUAUUGGGUUUAAAGGGAGCGCAGACGGGUCGUUAAGUCAGUUGUGAAAGUUUGCGG